rnacentral:rRNA from 1 species
AUUGAACGCUGGCGGCAGGCCUAACACAUGCAAGUCGAGCGGCGCUGCUGACUGGUGAGUAAUGCCUAGGAAUCUGCCUGGUAGUGGGGGAUAACGUCCGGAAACGGGCCCUUAUACCGCAUACUUUCAGAUGCGCCUCGGACGCAUUAGCUAGUUGGUGGGGUAAAGGCCUACCAAGGCGACGAUCCGUAACUGGUCUGCGAGCAUGAUCAGGCACACUGGAACUGAGACACGGUCCAGACUCAUACGGGAGGCAGCAGUGGGGAAUGUUAGACAAUGGGCGAAAGCCUGAUCCAGCAAUGCCGCGUGUGUGAAGAAGGUCUUCGGAUUGUAAAGCACUGUAAGUUGGGAGGAGUUACCAAAAGAAAAAGCAACGGCUAACUUCGUGCCAGCAGCCGCGGUAAUUC